AGGCAGAAGAUGUUCAGAGCAACAAGAAAAGGGAAGAGAGGUUACGCCUCCAGCUCACCAGCUGCUCCCAUGACUGUUUCGGAAGGCUCAGCACAGUUGUAAGCUGACCCUAGAAUUCAGCUCCCAACACCACCAAUAUCAGACAUUUUGGCAUGAACAUCAGAUGGAGAACUAAGACCCAGAGAGGUGAAGAUCACAUAGAGACUCUGUAACAGAGCCAGGAACCAAACCUACACCCCGGAAUUUGACACCGUUCCGUUAUCUACAGGACUGUUCUUCCUCACUAAAUCCCGGUUUCUUUCCUCAAAAGGUAAAACUAUAUUAACAUUUUUUGGGGGAAAACAUCAAAAUAAACAUGUAGAAUUUUGCCAGUGUUUUCCUUUUUCAUGGCUUGAAUUUGGCCUCUGACAGUUUUUCCUUCUACAGUGU